UGCCCACUUCUCUCGGGUGGUCGUCUCGGGUCCUCUGACUCUGCUCAGGAGAAUGAAGAGGAAGAAGUGGAGAAGGAACCUGUGGCUGUUGGAGAAGUAAUGCCUGAAGGAAUGAAAGCUUUGCCUAAGGACGUGCCACCCAAGCUGGAGACUCCCAGAAACCUGUCACCUGUGUUCCUCUCCUUCCUGCAGUCUUGCCUGAACUGGAAUGUGAGGCCCCGAUGGCCCACCAGGCUGCUUCUGCAGCAUCCGUUUUUAGGAAAAUCCAAGAGUCUUGUCGAGAUGGCUCCUCUGAUUGAUGCAGUCAGGAGACCCAGAA